UUGGCCUUGCAACUCCAAUAUCUGCCAUCUUUGGCUGUUGUUGGGCUCUACCAGCCAAUUUGGUACCAGUAAUACAGAAAAGUUGGCACGUGGAGCUGAGGGAUGGCAUGGCGGUGGGGGAGUCACAGAACAGAAGGGCAGUCUGAGCACUGAAGAGGAGCCAGCUGAGCAGGUGAGGUGCUAUACAAAGCAUUCAGGUUGUCUUCAUCCUCUUUAACGAGCAGCUGCUGAAUGCAUCGUGCCUCUGCCCCAGGGAUCUGGGCUGUGAGCUGUUGGUAUCCUACCUGUGGUUCUUUGAGCUGCCUUUUUGCUGUGGUGGCACCCUAAAACUCUGAAAUCUUUUCUGAAAGCCGGAGGUAAAAAAAAACCCACAGGAGAAUUUGCAGUCACUUCAUGGAAACCUGGGAGAGCCUAGCCACGUAACUGGGCCACUGGAUGUGGGAAAGGCAGAUGAGUGUUGAGUGGGAUAAAUAGAGGAACAACGAGAAUUAAGUGCUAGCUGCUUGUCUGCAUUUUUAACACAGCAUCCAUCCCUUGCAAUCGUGUUACAAAAGAAUCGCUGUUUUCUCAAGAUUUCUGGCCUUGACUAUAAAAAACAGCAGCGGGAUGUGGAGGACCAGUCCGACUUGGCACUGCCGUGUGAAACAAAAGCAGCAAUGUUUUUUGCAGAAGGGGCAGCUGAAGGUGAAGCGCAUGGCAGAAGACAACGGUGCUCGGCAAAAGGACUUGAAUGAAAUCACAAUUGAUCUGAUGUGACAUCCUUUUGGAAGGAGUGCGGCUGAAUGCGUGUCAAGUGAUGGAGACUCUACCGUCAUUCUGGGGAAUUUGUGACCAUGGCCAGCUCUCCUCACUGUUUGUUGUUGUUUUCACUUUGAAUUUGUCAAUUUACUGCAGAUGAAAGGAUGUAUCACAUGACAAUACUAAUCUUUAUAUAAUCAUCUAUAAUCUGUAACAAUCAGUCUACAUUUUGAGUUUAUACAGGGUCAAUAUGAGAAUGUAAUUUGAAGGACUUCUUAAAGUAGAUUGAUUUGCUAUUUAAUUCAACUACUGAUUUGAAACCAUUAAAUUCUGAAUAAAAUGGCCCAAAUAUGGCUUUAAUAUAUUAUAAGAACUGUGCUUUAAAGUUGUUUCUUAUAUUAAUUUGGGCUUCUACAAUUUUCUUACAGUUAGACAGUGUGUGUAUUGAGCUAAAAGAAUCUUGGAUCUCUUACUUGUAUAUGUCUUUCAAAUCUUCCUGAUUCUUGUGGUUCCUGUGAACUCUCUCCAAUUUUCAGCAUAAUCUCUAAACUGAGAGUAUCUCAUGAUCAAUGAAUAUGAAGAUACUAAACUUCUCUGUCCCUAGCAGAUAUUAUAUUUAUAUAGCCAA